rnacentral:lncRNA from 1 species
UACCAAUCCGCCCGAUAUCUUAUCGGGUGGCUAACGGAUGAAUACAUUUAAAAGCCGAUAACCGUUAAGCCAAACCGUUAGAGUAAAAAGCCGUCCAAUCCGCCCAAUGAACAUCCCUACCCAUAACUGGACGUGAACAACGCAACAAAAUAUACCCGGGAAAUUUAUCGACUCUCGACGGAGCUACGACCAGAACUUGGCCGGAAAACCCCGUCGGCAACCUCAGAUUACGACCUUCGGCAAACUCGGAAUUUGCCACAAACUCGAAUUCAAACCAAGUAAUGAAAUCAACGGAUUGUGACAAGGACUAACGAUUUGGAUCUGCUUCAUACCAUUUAGUGUGCCUUGUAGAGGAGUUUCAUAAUCCUCUCCGAAACUGGCUUAGCUAAUGGCAAAUGGAAGAAGCAGCGACGACUGUGGUGAUGAAAGCAGCAAAACAAAGAAAAUUAUCAGAUCUGAUGGUGCUGGAGCUCGGCGGCUAUGGAGGAUUUGGUUGCUGUGUGUUUGGUGACGGGCUGGUCACCAGUGUUCGGUUGUCAUGAGCGAGUUGAAGAAGAACAGUGGGGAAGGUCGUUCAUGGCCGCUGAAGUUUUUCUGGCGAGUAUGGUGGUCGACUUGCUCCGAUCUUAGAGAGGAGAGCUGCUGGGGUCGUUGCUGUGAGGAACUGAAGAGAACGACUGAAGGCCGGCUGCUCUGAUUUUGCUUCUCCUUUUUUUUUUCUCUUUCAAUUUUUGCCCGUCCUUUUUUGGUAGCUUUUCUAGUGUAUCUUUUUCUUAAGUCCUCUUUCUCAUUCGGCAGAGAAUGAUUUUAU